GACAUAGGAUCUGGCCAGCUCCCUCUCCUGAGCUGCUGUACCCUGAGGUUUGCGGGAUGCUGAUACCAUGCUCUCCAAGAUGUUCAAAAGCUCGGAUAAACAUUUGGUAAUGUGGAUUUAUGGCUUUCUCUACCCAGGCAGAUCACACAUGUUGUAACCACACUGAAAAUAUUUCCUGAAGAACAGCAGGAGAAGGAGUGGGAGAAAUGCAGGCAAGAAGUUACAGUGGAGAAGGAAAGCCUUCAUCCCAAAGCGCAAAAGCUGUGCGCAGCUAAAGUUCAGACGAUGUUGGGUGCACUGAACAGGUUACAUGAAAAGCAACUUGGCUACCAGAAAUAAUUCUAAAUGCUUCAGCGCUGAGGAUGUCUGCCACUGAGAACAGCAGCACCUGGACCUACACGUUG
rnacentral:lncRNA from 1 species